UACAGAGGGGGCAAGCGUUGUUCGGAAUUACUGGGCGUAAAGGGCGCGUAGACGGCCGCCUAAGUCAGACGUGAAAUCCCUCGGCUCAACCGGGGAACUGCGUCUGAUACUGGGUGGCUUGAAUCCGGGAGAGGGAUGCGGAAUUCCAGGUGUAGCGGUGAAAUGCGUAGAUAUCUGGAGGAACACCGGUGGCGAAGGCGGCAUCCUGGACCGGCAUUGACGCUGAGGCGCGAAAGCCAGGGGAGCAAACGGG
rnacentral:rRNA from 1 species